rnacentral:rRNA from 1 species
ACGAACGCUGGCGGCGUGCUUAGCCCAUGCAAGUCGAACGGAAAGGCCCCUUUGGGGGUACUCGAGUGGCGAACGGGUGAGUAACACGUGAGUAACCUGCCCUUGACUUCGGGAUAACUUCAGGAAACUGGGGCUAAUACCGGAUAGGAAUCCUUGCUGCAUGGUGGGGGUUGGAAAGCUUCGGCGGUUUUGGAUGGACUCGCGGCUUAUCAGCUUGUUGGUGGGGUAGUGGCUUACCAAGGCUUUGACGGGUAGCCGGCCUGAGAGGGCGACCGGCCACAUUGGGACUGAGAUACGGCCCAGACUCCUACGGGAGGCAGCAGUGGGGAAUAUUGCACAAUGGGCGGAAGCCUGAUGCAGCAACGCCGCGUGCGGGAUGACGGCCUUCGGGUUGUAAACCGCUUUCAGCAGGGGCGAAGCUUGUGGUGACGGUACCUGCAGAAGAAGCACCGGCUAACUACGU